rnacentral:lncRNA from 1 species
AUAUCUUUAUUUUAGUAUUUUUCAAACACACAAAUAUUAUAAAUUUAUUCGACUUCCAACCAAUGGGCUGGACAAGAUCUAGUUAUACAUUAUAUAUUUUACCUUUUUAUCCUUAUCCUCUCUACAGAGUUCUGAGCACCCAACAGAUUUUAUUCAGCCUGACCAGGGUUUUGGUUCGGCCCUACUAACAACUAAUAGAGUAUAAUUAUACAAACUUUCCGGGUCAGAAUCGUCUUUUCUUAAAUAUGUUCGUUUCCACCAUUUAAUUUCUUCCUUUCUUUUUCCCUCCUGUUUCAAUCUCCAAAAGAAAAGAAAAAACGCGUUAAUUCAAUGAACCUGACCGAUGAAAAAUGGCGUUCUUUGACUUUCUUCGCCACACUUCGCUUAACAACCACUCAAACCCACGAUUUCAAGCCAAGUCACCGCUAAGAACGAGAGAGAAUCAAAAUUCUUCUUCCAAUUCUCCAUCGGCCAUGGUUUCUUCCCAAUCCACCAGCUUCUUCCACUGCCGAUGAUCAUGAAGCUUCCUCGGAGGAAGAUGAUGCUUACAGAAACCACCACCACCACAG